rnacentral:rRNA from 1 species
GAUGAACGCUGGCGGCGUGCUUAACACAUGCAAGUCGAACGAUGAAAGCGGGAGCUUGCUCCUGCUGGAUUAGUGGCGAACGGGUGAGUAACACGUGAGCAAUCUGCCCCGAACUCUGGGAUAAGCGUUGGAAACGACGUCUAAUACCGGAUACGACGCGCGAAGGCAUCUUCUGCGCGUGGAAAGAACUUCGGUUCGGGAUGAGCUCGCGGCCUAUCAGCUAGUUGGUGAGGUAACGGCCCACCAAGGCGACGACGGGUAGCCGGCCUGAGAGGGUGACAGGCCACACUGGGACUGAGACACUGCCCAGAGUCCUACGGGAGGCAGCAGUGGGGAAUAUUGCAAGUUGGGCGCAAGCCGGAUGCAGCAACGCCGCGUGAGGGACGACGGCCUUCGGGUUGUACACCUCUUUUAGUAGGGAAGAAGCGAAAGUGACGGUACCUGCAGAAAAAGCACCGGCUAACUACGUGCCAGCCGCCGCCGUAAAAC